ensembl:lncRNA
GGCAAAAUAAAAAACGAGUGCCUGAAGGAAGAGCUUACACUCAGCUAGACACUCCCCUGUGCUAACUGGGGAGAGCGUCCCAAAUACACCAAAGUUAAACAACGGACCCAAAACCUGAUACCCAGCUAUUUCAGUUUCUUUCAUUCAAAUCCCGUUGUAUGCAACUAAAACAUGUUUAUGUUUACUUGAAUAGAAACAGUUUACAGUUCUAUAAUUAGCCACAGAUUUUACAUUUUUCUUCAAAUUUGUUUAGAAAGAUUCCACUUAAACUACCCUUAAACGUACUAUUCUCUUAAAGAUAAUGUCAAUAGCAAGAGGUGGACCUAUCAGCAUUGCCUAGCUAUACACCAAAUAGAGCCACACAGGUCAGAGAUGGACAAUAGUCACCUGAGCAGGACAGUAGGGCUGUGUGAUUUGACAAAAUAUAUCAGAUGACAGAAUUGAAACAUCUAUCAUUUAACAUUAUACUCUAAUUUGUUUUGUGGUGUCAAAAUACACAGUUUACAGCAAAAAAAAAAAAAAAAAAAAAAAAAUUCCAUCAUUUGGAUGGUCACCAUGUGGAUGCAGGCACAGAAUACCAGCAUGGCCAUUGAGGAUGAGGCAGAACCAGGUAGCUCCAAACAGAAGGACCAGUCAAAACAACUCAAGGACCUUAGUCCUUGGGUGGCUGUAGCUCAGGAGUGUAGGUGCAGGUAGAGCAAGUCAUCUACUGAUCGGAAGGUUGGUGGUUCGAUUCCUGGCUUCCCCUAGUCUGCAUGCCAAAUAUCCUUGGGCAAGAUACUAACCCCAAAUUGCUCUCCGAUGCAUCCAUCGGAGUAUGAAUGUGUGUGAAUGUUAGCUAUAAAGCACUUAUAAAGAUAUGCUUGUGCGAAUGGGUGAAUGCACAAGUUGUGUAAAGCGCUUUGAGUGCUCAGAUGAGUAGAAGAGCGCUAUAUAAGAACCAGUCCAUUUACCAUUAAAAAAAUAAAAUAAAAUAAAUUAAAAAAAAAAAAAAAAAAAAAAAGGAUGAAUAGUGUUAGUGUGUCCCGUGCUGUUAAAUCUCAGUGUGACGUUUGUAUCUAUAAGUUUAAAAAUUGCGUGCCGUUUUGUCUCUAUGAAACGUACGUACUACAUUGAACAGCAUAGUACAUUAAACCACUAACUGUUCUGCACGCCACAUUUCCAUUUAGCUUGUGUUAAUCCCUAUCACCUUUAAGUUAUCAACACUGUAGUUUCGAAGGUGGCUUUUAUUUUUAAAUCAGGUCUCAAGGUCUCUUGCCAUAAUACUUGGUAUAAACACAUAAUGCAAAACCAAGUGAGGGCUGGCUUGACUGUACUUCUCAAAUUGGAGAUUAAGCUUGACACCAGUUAAUGAUUUGCUGCACUUUCCAGCGUUGUGUCAAAGUAGUUACCCCCAGCAAAAAUUGUUUCCCCAUCCAUGAGAGCACGCAGGAGGAGGAGCCACAUGCUAGGCUCAGUUACUGUAUGCUACUUGUUACUGAUCUGCACUUGUUGUAAUAAACCCCAAAAGCUGAAAAACACACUUGCCAGGGUUUCUACUGGCCAGGGAUGUCAGCAGACAUCAAUAAUUCGGUGGGUACUCAAACUCUGAAAUUUUACUAUAGCCGACUUAUUUUAAGAUGAACACAAUUUUCUGUCUCUCAAAAUAAUUGAUAUAAAACUUGACCAUCAACUGGUGAGUUUCUUAAUUGCUUUUGUUUUUGAUCAGGGUUCCCAGUGUCCAGUUUGCCAGGCAAGUGCUGCAACAAUUUAAAAAAAAAAAAAAAAAAAAUACAUUCCCAUAAAGGGAGUCAAUCACUGAAAAUAAUCAUUUAAUCACAGAAUGUUUUGUUUAGAAACCUGAUUGAUUUGUAUACUUCAAAAAUAAGAGUAGGAGAUUAGCAUUCUGUGUAAUUUCAAUAUUAUUAAUGUAAAUAUGUUUUUCUAGUUAAGAUUUCUCAGCCAUUUGAAUUGGUUGGAAUGGACCUUAUUGGGAGACUUACAGAAACCAAAAGGGGACAUCAGUAUAUUUGUGUUUUCAUUGACUACUUCAAAAUAGCAACAGGGAUCCCCAUUGAAGUCUAAAUCAGCAAAGGAAGUGACAAACUGAUCAAAUUUGUCCAUCAGUUCGAAGCACCUAAAAGGGUUCUUAGCUCGCAAGGAAAGGAAUUUGUCAAUUCUAUAAGCACUUCAGUCUUUGGCAAACAUUGUUAUUGGCAUGUAACACAUAUUUUUAAAAAAUUAUAUACAUCUGUAAGGUUCUACUUCUGGUUUCUAUAAAUCUGUUUGUGUGACUGCUGUAUAUUUCAAAUCUUAUUGUAAUGUACUUAGAGUCAGUAUAUUUUACUUGCCGUUGCAGCUCAAAACGUUAUGCAGAAUGUUACACAGAAGAAACCUCUGCUCCCCAUAUCAUCCACAAACAAAUGGCUCGGUAGAGAGAAUGAACAGCACCAUCCAGAGGUAAAUUCUUUGUUAUAUUCUGUAAUAGACCACACCAAAGCCUGAUACUUUGAGUACAUCCAGCUUAAUGCGUGAAACAUUACAGUUUUAUGGGGUUCCCUUCCACUAAAACAUUAAGGUAUGACAUUUAAAAGCCAAAAAGGAAAAUGAUGUCAUAUGAAUGUUUUGCAUGUGCUUUUAUUGUCAGAGCCCUCUGUAAAGUUCUUGGUGACCAACCAGAAACAUGGGAUGACUAUCUGGAUGUUGUGAUGUUUGGUCUCAGAACAAAAAAAAAAAAAAGAAAAAAAAGAAAGAAAAAAAAAAGGAAAUAAAAGCAAAUGACCACUGAAGUACUCAUCCCAUUACCUGAUUUUUGGCAGAGAGGCUUGUUAUCCAUAUGAAAUCCCAGAACACUACAUGGUCUUUCUGUCUGUGACAAACUACAGGAAAAUCCUACGCAAAGCACCAUAAUCCAGGGUCAGAAGCUACAGCAAAGGAAGAAAACGCCACCAGAACCAGCCCCCAAAACCAGUACGCGCUGCAGGUCCACAAGCCAAAUCACAAACAGCAGCAGACCCAGAUCCAAAAGCUACAACUCCACCAUUGACUACUCCCCAGGUUGUAGCACCACAAGCAUCAACUAAAC